rnacentral:sRNA from 1 species
CAACUUCGCCCCUGGCGGGCGUUUCCUCCCAGACUCGGCCGGGGCCUAUGGGCGCCGGCCUCCUUCGUGAGGAUC